rnacentral:rRNA from 1 species
ACGGCUCAGUAACACGUGGAUAACCUGCCCUUGGGUCCGGCAUAACCCCGGGAAACUGGGGAUAAUUCCGGAUAACGCAUAUAUGCUGGAAUGCUUUCUGCGUAAAAUGGAUUCGUCUGCCCAAGGAUGGGUCUGCGGCCUAUCAGGUAGUAGUGGGUGUAAUGUACCUACUAGCCUACGACGGGUACGGGUUGUGAGAGCAAGAGCCCGGAGAUGGAUUCUGAGACAUGAAUCCAGGCCCUACGGGGCGCAGCAGGCGCGAAAACUUUACAAUGCGGGAAACCGUGAUAAGGGGACACCGAGUGCCAGCAUCAUAUGCUGGCUGUCCGGGUGUGUAAAAUACACCUGUUAGCAAGGGCCGGGCAAGACCGGUGCCAGCCGCCGCGGUAACACCGGCGGCCCGAGUGGUGAUCGUGAUUAUUGGGUCUAAAGGGUCCGUAGCCGGUUUGGUCAGUCCUCCGGGAAAUCUGAUAGCUCAACUAUUAGGCUUUCGGAGGAUACUGCCAGACUUGGAACCGGGAGAGGUAAGAGGUACUACAGGGGUAGGAGUGAAAUCUUGUAAUCCCUGUGGGACCACCUGUGGCGAAGGCGUCUUACCAGAACGGGUUCGACGGUGAGGGACGAAAGCUGGGGGCACGAACCGGAUUAGAUACCCGGGUAGUCCCAGCCGUAAACGAUGCUCGCUAGGUGUCAGGCAUGGCGCGACCGUGUCUGGUGCCGCAGGGAAGCCGUGAAGCGAGCCACCUGGGAAGUACGGCCGCAAGGCUGAAACUUAAAGGAAUUGGCGGGGGAGCAC